rnacentral:lncRNA from 10 species
GAAUCCCUCCCUGCCUCAUGAAGCUGAGUCUCUGGUCUCUGAUCAUGGCUUACUCCUCCCAGAUGACGGCAGCAUUGACGAAAUUAACGAGCAGACCCUAAAAUUGACAAGGAAAUGCAAGGUACCCAGAGCAGCCAAAUGAUCUUGAAAAAGAACAAAGUAGGACUCGCACUUUCUGAGUUAAAACUGACUUCAAAACUCCAUUAAUCAAGACAGUGUGUUCCUGGCAUAAGAGUAAACAUAUAGAUGAAUGGAGCAGAAUUUUUAGUGCAGAAAUAAACUUUUAAAUCAUGGACAUUCAACUUUUGACAGAGUUGCCAAGACAGUUCAAUGGGGGAAAUGUUAGUCUUUUCAACCAAUGAUGCUGGGACAACUGGAUAUCCAUUUGCAAAAGAAUGAUGCGAGAUCUCUGUCAGACCAUACACAAAACAAUCAAAAUGGAUCAAAGAGCCGGGCGCAGUGGCUCACGCCUGUAAUACAGCAUUUCAGGAGGCUGAGGCAGGAGAAUUGCUUGAGCCCAGGAGUUUGAGACCAGCCUGGGCAACAUGGCGAAACCCCGACUCUACUAAAAAAUAUAAAAAUUAACCGGGCAUGGUGGCACAUGCCUGCAAUCCUCCCAAAAUCGGGAGGCCGAGGCACGAGAAUUGCUUGAACCCAGGAGGUGGAGGUUGCAGUGAGCUGAGAUCAUGCCACUGUACCCCAGCCUGGGUAACAGAGAGAAACUGAUCUUGGGUCAGAGUUAGGCAAUGGUUUCUUAGAUAUGACACCAAAAACACAAGUGACAGAAGGAAAGAGAUAUAAUUGGACUUCAUGAAAAUUUUAAAAAUGUGUGCUACAAAUGAUGCCUUCAACAGAAUGAAAAGACAGCACACAGCAUAGGAGAAAAUGUUUGCAAAUCAUAUAUCUGAUAAGGGGCUUGUGUCCAGAAAUCGUAAAGGACCCCUACAACUCUAUAGUAAAAAGAUAAAUCGGCCGGGCGCAGUGGCUCACGCCUGUAAUCUCAGCACUUUGGGAGGCCAAGGUGGGUGGAUCACCUGAGGUCAGGAGUUGGAGACCAGCCUGGCCAACAUUGUGGAACCCCGUCUCUACUAAAAAUACAAAAUUAGCCAGGUGUGGUGGCAGACACCUGUAAUCCCAGCUACUCGGGAGGCUGAGGCAGGAGAAUUGCCUGAACCCGGGAGGCAGAGGUUGCAGUGAGCUGAGAUCGCGUCACUGCACUCUAGACUGGUGACAGAGCAAGACUCUAUCUCAAAAAAAAAAAAAAAAAAAGAUAAAUCACCCAGAAUGGACAAAGGAUCUUGGCAGACAUUUCUGCAACAUUUCUGCAACAAAAACAUGCAAAUGACCGGCCAGGCAUGGUGGCUCAUGCCUGUAAUCCCAGCACUUUGGUAGGCCAAGGCGGGUGGAUCACCUGAGGUCAGGGGUUCGAGACCAGCCUGGGUAACCUGGUGAAACCCUGUCUCUAUUAAAAAUACAAAAAAAAACUUAGCUGAGUGUGGUGGCGGGCGCCUGUAAUCCCAGCUACUCCGGUUGCUGAGGCAGGAGAAUCUCUUGAACCCGGGAGGCAGAGGUUGCAGUGAGCCGGGAUUGCACCAUUGCACUCCAGCCUGGGCAACAGAGCAAGACUCUGUCUCAAAAAAAAAAAAAAAAAAAAAAAGCAAAAAACAUGCAAAUGACCAACAAGCACAUGAAAAGAUGCUCAAUGUCAUUAGUCAUUAGUGAAAUCCAAAUCAAAACCACAAUGAGAUAAAGUUUCACAUCUAGUAGGAAGACGGUAAUAAAAAAAGACAGACAGUAACAGGAUGAGGGGAAGCCAGAAGACUCAUGUAUUGCUGGUGGGAAUGUAACAUGCAGAAUGUAAAAAUGGUGAAGCUGUGCUGGAAAAUAGUUUGGCAGUUCCUCAAAAUGUUAAACACAGGGUUAUAUGGCCCAGCAAAUCCACUCAUAGAGAAACCCACCCAAGAAAUUAAGGCAUAUAGUCACGCAAAAAUUUGCAGGUGAAUGUUCAUAGCAUAUUCAUUUAUUUAUUUGUUUAUUUUUAUUGAGACAGAGUCUCAAUUUAUCACCCAUGCUGGCAUGCAGUGGGGCGAUCCCAGCUCACUGGAACCUCUGCCUCCCGGGUUCAAACAAUUCUCCUGAGUAGCUGGAUUACAGGUAUGCGCCACCACAUUUGGCUAAUUUUUGUAUUUUUAGUAGAGACAGUGUUUCACCAUGUUGGCUAGGCUGGUCUCGAACUCUUGACCUCAAGCAAUCCGCCUAUCUUGGCCUCCCAAAGUGCUGGGAUUACAGAUGUGAGCCACUGUGACCAGCCAUAGCAGCAUUAUUUAUAAGAACUAAAUAAAUCAUGGAAGGAACCCAUAUGACUAUCAGCUGAUGAAUGGAUAAAUGAAAAUGUGCUGUGUGCAUACGAUGGAAUAUUAUUUGGCAAUGGAAAGGAAUGAAGUAGUGAUACAUGGUACAACGUAGAUGGAUGGACUUUGAAACAGUAUGUGAGAUAAGCUGAUGACUACAUAUUAUAUGAACCCAUUCCCGUGAUUUGUUCAGAGUAGGCAGAUCUACAGAGACAAAGUAGAUUAGUGGUUGCCCAAGGCUGGAGGGCAUUGGGGAAUAACUACUAAUGGUACAGGGCUUCUUUCUGGGAUGAUGAAAAUGUUCUAAAAUUAGAUGUGGUGAUGGCUGCACAACUCUGUAAGUAUACUUAAGCCACUGAAUUGUAUGAUUUAAAUGGGCAAAUUGAUGUACGAAUUAUAUCAAUAAAGUUGCUUAAAAAAACAAUAUAUAAACAUUAAAAGAAUCAAAUAUAUAAAAAGG